rnacentral:tRNA from 1 species
CCCUGGUGACUCAGAUGGUAAAAAAAUCUGCCUGCAAUGCAGGAGGCCCAGGUUCGAUCCCUGGAUCAGGAA